rnacentral:rRNA from 1 species
UACGUAGGGUGCGAGCGUUAAUCGGAAUUACUGGGCGUAAAGCGCACGUAGGCGGAUUUGCCAGUCAGGGGUGAAAUCCCGGGGCUCAACCUCGGAACUGCCUUUGAUACAGCAAGUCUUGAGUUCGAGAGAGGUGGGUGGAAUUCCUAGUGUAGAGGUGAAAUUCGUAGAUAUUAGGAAGAACACCGGUGGCGAAGGCGGCCCACUGGCUCGACACUGACGCUGAGGUGCGAAAGCGUGGGGAG